AGUGAACGCUGGCGGUAGGCCUAACACAUGCAAGUCGAACGAGUGGCGGCCUGGUGAGGACUACAUCGGAAUCUACUCUGUCGUGGGGGAUAACGUCGGGCAACUUUCGCUAAUACUGCAUACGAUUGAAUGAGCCGAUGUCGGAUGAGCUAGUUGGCGGGGUAAAGGCUCACCAAGGCGACGAUCCGUCGCUGGUCUGAGAGGAUGAUCAGCCACACUGGAACUGAGACACAGUCCAGACUCCUACGGGAGGCAGCAGUGGGGAAUAUUGGACAAUGGGCGCAAGCCUGAUCCAGCCAUACCGCGUGGGUGAAGAAGGCCUUCGGGUUGUAAAGCCCUUUUGUUGGGAAAGCGGUACCCAAAGAAUAAGCACCGGCUAACUUCGUGCCAGCAGCCGCGGUAAUUC
rnacentral:rRNA from 1 species